CAGAGCAGAAAGAGAGAAAGAGUUCUAAAGAGUUAUAUUACCACUGCCGUGGUGUGACAACAAUCCUGUUGGUGUACCUCCAACUGAAGUCACACCCAAAGAUCUUAGAGCGGAGCAAGAUGGACCACUCCAUGAAAAAGCCGUAGUAGCUGAUGGGUAAUCUUCAGCGACAUUCCCGUAACCAGCUUCUGUUGUGGCAGUGUCCACAUCUCCGUACUGCUCCGCUAUAAUUUGCUCCACGCCAAUGUAGCUGACCCGAGCUGUUUUCAGGUUCCCACGAAAAACGAAAGAUGUCGACAGUGGGUCCAGAAUACUCGUCGACAAGAUCUCCUACAGUGAAAUACGGAGUACUUGUCAAAGAACUGCCGUCAUUGAUGUCGACAGUGGGUCCAGAAUACUCGUCGACAAGAUCUCCUACAGAGAAAGACGGAGUACUUGUCAAAGAACUGCCGUCAUUGGUUAGCUGAUAUUCGAAACACUGCAACCCUGUAUAUCUCGCACACAAAACAAUGUCUACUGUG